AUUCUAACCAAAGAAGAAACUAUAGUCCUAAUUAAAUAAAAAAUAAAAGUCUUAUUACAACUAUACAAAAAAAUGAUAAAGACAACUAGUAAAGAUAGAGUUAAAACACGUGUUUCCUAUUAGGAAAUAACGUUUAUCUUAUUUCUUUACUUUUCGAAUUGAUUUUGGAUCUUCCCUUGGUAUUCUCUUGUAUUAAUCCCCUCCACUUCAAAACAACUCGACCCCAAGUUGUCAUCAAGAUACAAAGUCUUAACAAAGGAAAACUCAUUGAUUGAAUUUUUAAUGAUCAAAAAAUAUCUCCCUUCCACUUUAGAAGCUUUAUGUGUCUUCCCUGUUGCAAUCUUUUAUCCUUCCACUUGAACUUGUAGGUAUUAACUCUGCCCUUAUGUAUGUCAUCCACAUUAAUUUGCCAGGAUUUGUCUAGUAGAAUAUGAUACCCAUCGAAUUGAACAAAAUCACAAAUAACUUCUAAUUUGUGACAAGUCUCAAUUGGCAAAGGUACAUUACAAAUUUGAGUUAGCUGAAUAUACGAACCCUUCGGGUUACUUUCCUUAAUCCCAGAAGUGACGGAACUAUCUUCCCUUCCGAAAAGAGCUAAAUCAACUUGUCAAUCGGUUCAAUUGGAUGAUGCACCAGCUUCUUCGUGAUUAGAUUCUCACCAAUGCAACUAUCUAUGGUCUGACUGCAAAUAACAUCAUUAGCCUGAAACUUUUCAUGAUGAGUUAAAUCUUCCUGCUUGGAUGAGCACAAGACUUUCUCCACAUUACAUACGAAAUCUCCUUGUUCUUCUCCACAAAGUUCAUUCAUAUAUUCUUCAUCUUUCUCUUCCUUAUCUCUGACAUCCGAUUUGCCUUUUUCUACUACAAGUCUCCUGUUAUUUUCUCUUCGAACUACGGGCUCAGUAAUUUGUUUAUUGUUGAUUGCCUGUUGUUCUUUUUGCCCAUUGUUUCUAACACUCUACAGAAGCAGUUGACAAAUCUCUUCAAUCUGAAUAGUAAGAUUGUCAAGCCGCUCAUCAAUCCGUCGAUUUGUUAGAUCUAAAUUUUCCCUAGUAAUUGGUAUGUAACCCAUGCUAUAAAUAAAAGAUAUAGAUACGAGAAAGUCGGCUCUAAUACCACCUGAUGCAGGACGAAAACGUGGAUAAAAUAAAAGUGUCUACUUCGUAACACGAACGAGUGUUUGCUUGAAUUUCGCUCAAACGGACGUUAUAAUUAUUUGGAAUCCACCAAAUAAAUAUUGGAAUCCACCAAUAAAUGAGAAAACUAAAAUAGUUUAUUAAUCAAGAAUCG
rnacentral:lncRNA from 1 species